GAGGAAGGGCCUGUCAUGAUCCAGAAGGCAGCAGCGUGGUGGAAGCCUGGAGAAGCCAGGGCUGUGCAAAGCAAGGAGAUAGGGAGAGCCGAGGGUGUCCCUCAGGGCUCCCGCUCUUUUUGUGAGGGCCCUGUUGUAACGCUCACCCCUCCCCAAGGCGAAGCAGAGGCAGCUCCGGAGAAGUCCCACACACAGCAGAGAAGGCAGUGGUAGAGAGAGAAGAAAUGGCUGUGAAGUGCCUUAACCACAAAGCUUCUACAGAUCAGUGGAAAUGAUGGACAGUGGAGAUACUCAUUUGGUACCAGCAAUAUCACAAAAUUGUCUUCUGCUUCACAUCAACCUACAUGUAUUUCACUUAUACUUAGAAAAUGAUACAGCACAUGCAUAGCACCGGGUCCAGUGCAUGAAACAAGGAGAGACAGAACUAGUCACCAGCUUGUCAUGCAGCCUCAUUUGUCACUGCUCCUUU